AUGAAUCAAACAAUAAAACACCACUUCAUUCUAUUUCAUACAUCUCCGCUUCAUCCUAUUCCAUCAAUCCGAUCGGAGUUUUUAUUCUAUUCCGUCAAUCUAAAUUCGCGGGAGUGUGAGAAUAAGAAAUAUCACAAAUCAAAAUCUUUCUUGUACAUUGCACCUUUAAGUUACAAACUCAAGCAACCAAUUUAA